UUAAUGGAGAGUUUGAUCCUGGCUCAGGACGAACGCUGGCGGCGUGCCUAAUACAUGCAAGUCGAGCGGAGUUAUUCCUUCGGGGAUAACUUAGCGGCGGACGGGUGAGUAACACGUAGGCAACCUGCCUGUAAGACUGGGAUAACUACCGGAAACGGUAGCUAAGACCGGAUACACGAUUUGAUCGCAUGAUCG
rfam:Paenibacillus selenitireducens strain ES3-24 ES3-24_scaffold16, whole genome shotgun sequence.